UCCUAGAUCGUAUAGUGGUUAAUAUACCGCUCUCUCACAGCGGUGACCAGGGUUCGAUUCCCUGUCUGGGAA
rnacentral:tRNA from 1 species